CCUAUAGCUCAGUCGGUUAGAGCAGCUGACUCAUAAUCAGAAGGUCCUUGGUUCAAGCCCAAGUA
rnacentral:tRNA from 1 species